CUUUCUAGGGGGACUGAGGAUCUGGGAAUCCUGGGGACUGAAAACCAGGGGCACUUGGGGGAUGGGGCCUGGGAUGUGAAGAAAAUCUAAGACUUUGACUCAGCAGAGCAGAUUACCGGGGUCUCUAAGGAAAGCUAUGCUCUGUUUAGAGGGUCUCUGAUUUAUAAGGUCGGUGCCUGUCAUUGUCUUCAAGCUAUUUUACAACUUUGUGUUUGUAGAUAACUAAUAGCAAUGUAAAUAAUUCUUUCCUAUAGACCAGAAAAUGAAUUCCAUCCCCUGGAGGUUCAAUUGAUUUCCCUCCCCUAGUUAUGGAAAAAGCCGGUUUUUGUCGGACGGCUUCCACUGAGAUGCCACAGUUCACCUGACAGAGCGGGCUAUUGUCAUUAAAGAGGCUGAUAGCCAAUUUGAGCUGGCAGAAGAAAGAAUCAGCAAAUUUGAAGACAGGUCAAUUGAGAUCAUCCAGUCUGAGGAAGAGAAAAAAAAAAUGAAGAAAAAUGAACAGAGUCUCAGAGUCCUAUGGGACACCAUCAAGCAUACCAAAUAUACACAUAAUGGGAGUCCUAGAAGGAGAGUAUAGAAAGUAGAAGAAAGACUAUUUAAAAAUAAUGGCUGCGGGCCGGCCCUGUGGCCAAGUGAUUAAGUUUGUGUGCUCCCCUUCUGCGG
rnacentral:lncRNA from 1 species